GGAAAUUUUUACAGCGUAGGAGAUGAAAGUGAAAGAAGGUUGAGCUUUUAUUAGAUGAAAGGGAAAGUGUUGGACAGUGACUCUUGAUUUGAACGACCAAGCCGCAGCACUUAAAGCCUCUGAAGAAACACUUACGGACAUACAAUGAAUCGUGCUGUAUAUGACAUCAAGACAUCUCUUAAAAGGAAAGGCUUCAAGGAGGUCUCUUCCCUUCAGCAAUGUCAUUUCUUACUGUUUUUCUGCCCCAUUAUUUCUCGUGCUGGAACUGAUAUUGACGCUGCAGUGAAUCACAUCAAUCAAGUGAAAGCUUCCAGUUUUCACUUAUCAUUGCCAGUCAUCAUGGUGGUGCUCCAUCACACUUUUGACCCAGAGAAACUUAUACUCGACAGCAACAAUGUUAUAGCGAGCGAGCACAUAUCUGCAGUGGACUGUCUGUUUGAUGACAAUGGAUUACUGAAUGGAUGUCAGAAGAAUACGAAUGCAAUCAGUAAAAUUGCAAAUGACUCAAAAUUAAAGAACUGGACUUUAUAUCAUUGCCUGAGAGACCAGUAUGCAGAAAACGAGCCCUUAAUCCAUGAGAGACCAGUGCGGGUUCUGAGCACAACCAUUAAUUUAUUAGGGCAUGAUGUACCCAUAAUUUGUAUUGCUAUUGUUGUUGUUUUGGCUGUGAUUGUUCUGAUUGUCCUGCUACUAAGUUUUCUUUAGAUUUAAAACAAAGAAUGAAAUGAAAAUUUUUGUGAUUUUCAGAAGUAAUUGUUCAGUGGUAAUUGUAGUAAUAAUGCACUGCAUGAAGAUUAAUUAAACGCUGAAUAUAAAUAAUUAACAAGUUCACAAAACACUUAAAGUAAAUUUAAUGUAUAGGCUAUUUCCCCUAUAUAAUUAUGUUUUACUUACCGUAUUUUCUGCACUAUAAGGUGCACGUAAAAGCCUUUAAUUUUCUCAAAAAACGCUUUAUAAUCCGGAGCGCUUUAUAUAUGGAUCAAGGCACUCUGUCAAAAUGUUGACAUUCCCUUUAGCACAGUUACAUCUAGUGGAUGCAUAACGCAAAUUCAGUCAAAAGUUUGACUGCAGUAUAUUUCAUUCCAUGCGCUUUAUAAUCCGGUGCGCCCUAUAUAUGUAAACAGUUCUAAAAUAGGCCAUUCAAUGAAGGUGCGCCUUAUAAUCCGGUGCACCUUAUAGUGCGGAAAAUACGGUAAGUAAAACAUAAUUAUAUAGGGGAGAUAGCCUAUACAUUAAAUGUACUUUAAGUGUUUUGUGAUUAAAUAGUGUAUUGUGAUUAAAUAGUGUAUUGUGAUUAAAUAGCCUAGUUUAUUGUGAUUAAAUAGUGUAUCACACACACUCAAAUAUUUGCAUGUCAGUCUAACAAAAAUGUUGUUGUUUGCAAAACAUAAAUAAACAGCUGUUUGACCCACUUCUGACAAUUUUUCAGUGUUUGUAUACCAC